rnacentral:tRNA from 1 species
GCCGAAAUAGCUCAGUCGGGAGAGCGUUAGACUGAAGAUCUAAAGGUCCUUGGUUCGAUCCCGGGUUUAGGCA